rnacentral:rRNA from 1 species
UAGGGAAUAUUGCACAAUGGGGGAAACCCUGAUGCAGCGACGCCGCGUGAGUGAUGAAGGCCUUCGGGUCGUAAAGCUCUGUUGUACGGGAAGAAAAAAAUGACGGUACCGUAUAAGAAAGGAUCGGCUAACUUCGUGCCAGCAGCCGCGGUAAGACGAGGGAUCCUAGCGUUGUUCGGAAUCAUUGGGCGUAAAGAGUAUGUAGGCGGCCUUGUAAGUCAGUUGUGAAAGCCCCGGGCUCAACCCGGGAAGUGCAAUUGAUACUGCUUGGCUUGAAUGUGGAAGAGGGCAGUAGAAUUCCAGGUGUAGUGGUGAAAUACGUAGAUAUCUGGAGGAAUACCGGUGGCGAAGGCGGCUGCCUGGUCCUACAUUGACGCUGAGAUACGAAAGCAUGGGGAGC